GGGAAAUAACUGACCGAUAGAGCCCGCCUACCACCGGCGGCGGCGGCCAAUCAGCUUCUCGAGCGCCUCAUCGUGUUGAACCGCCGUCCAAUCAGCGGCUUUUGAGUCCGCCGGCCAGCCAAUGGGAAGCUAACACUGCCCCUCCUGCUUUACUGCAGAAUUCCGUGUCUUGCAGCCCGCAGCAUCGAGAGUCUAGGCUGAAAUUUUGUGUAACGGACGAACAAGAAAGAUCCUGCAGAAGCAGUCAGCCCAUCACAUCUGAUAAAAGAAGUCCAACUAAUUCCCUGAAAAAUGCAGCUCAUUUUGGGGCUUUCUUUUCUUUAGCCAUGGCAACAUUACAAAAUAAAAUACCUGAUGAGAGAGGUAAAGAAAGAAGAACAUCGUCUGUGUCAGCACUGCAGGCUCAAUGUCUGCUUGGCCGGAGGAGAGAGGAGACGUCUUUGUUCGAUUCAUCCAGAAAUGAGACGUCAGCAUAUUCCAGCUGGAGUAAAAGGACUGUUAUGUUACCAGACUUGGAGAAUGUGAAUUUUUAUUUUGUUAACACAUGUGCAAAGAGUAAAUAAGAUGAAAGUGUAAUGAGAAGGGCAGAUGAGUGGUGGGCUGAAGAGUGUGUUAUGUAACAGCCACUUCUCAGUCUCUGUUAUAGUGUUAUCACGCUUAACACUUCAACGCAGGGGCGAUGUUAAGCUGUCAAGGUCAGCUGCUUUUACUUUAAGCGCUACGCUUAUGAAUUAUAUUAUUUAGUCGGAGCACAUGAAUCUGAGUUCGUUCCCAUCUUUAAACAGAAAACACAGACAAUUAAAUGGUGAUUUGGGUUAUACAAAAGAACCAAGAACGAUGCAACUGGAGAUGAAAGCAUUAAAUAUUAACCAGCAUUUUAAACCAACUGACACCACGACUUCCCACUCGAAUAUCGCACACAGACAUGCAAACAAUGCUGCAAACAUACAAAUACAUUAGAGCAGCAGCAAGACUGUUCAAGUGGUUCCUGAAUUUAAGUGAAAGGACUAUAGAAAUAGACUAACAAAAAGGGAAGAUACUGGAAUGUACAUUAAAAAAAGAAGGAAAGAGACAAAGCUUUAAAGACUCGAUCAUUUUUUGAUCUAUUGUAGAAGCGUUCCCAGUGGUUCUUUCAUUACGAUUAUGCCGUUUUUAGUCAAAAUUAAAAAAAAACAUGCAGUUUUCUAGGACACAGUUUCUGCAGAGCGGCACUAGUUCAUAAGAAAUUUACCUCUGAGUUGUGAGAGAGACUAGUGGCAUGACCCAACUUCCCAUCAUCCAUCUUUUUACAUGGUUCCCUGUUAGCUUACAGCCCUACACAACCCCAACCUAAUAUUACCAGUGCAACAAAAGCUAUCGGAGCUGUUCACCUGUACAGUUUGGAGCAAAAAUAAAUAAAGACGUACAUGGAUCUAGUCGUCUACGAGUGGACGCUUCAGAAUGGGGUGGCAUCAUGGAGCUUAUGGCUCACCACUGUAGGUUCUAUAUGUCCAAAACAAGCUUUUUUUGCAUCUGUUUGAGAUUCACCACAAUUUGAACAAAGAAAUACUUAGAGAGGCAAUUUUAAGCUUAUAUUUUUUAAAUAUAUGUCAUAAAUAAAAUGCUACAAGAACAUCAGAUUUUCAUCAAAGUGGAUCUUUAAAUGUAAAAUUAUGUAUUUAAUUUUUAAGUCAAAUCAUUUCAAUCUGGAAAGGUGGUAACAUCUCUUCUUGUUUUCAUUUAGGUUCAUAUCUGUACUAAAAGCAUUUUUUUACUGUCUUGUUCAAAGAAAUAAAGUUUGGUGCUAACAGUUCAUCA